GACGAACGCUGGCGGCGUGCCUAAUACAUGCAAGUCGAGCGGAUGACGGAGGAGCUUGCUCCUCCUGAUUCAGCGGCGGACGGGUGAGUAACACGUGGGCAACCUGCCCUGUAGAUUGGGAUAACUCCGGGAAACCGGGGCUAAUACCGAAUAAUCCUUCGGACCUCAUGGUCCGAUGUUGAAAGACGGCAUCUCGCUGUCACUACAGGAUGGGCCCGCGGCGCAUUAGCUAGUUGGUGAGGUAACGGCUCACCAAGGCCACGAUGCGUAGCCGACCGGAGAGGGUGAUCGGCCACACUGGGACUGAGACACGGCCCAGACUCCUACGGGAGGCAGCAGUAGGGAAUCUUCCACAAUGGACGAAAGUCUGAUGGAGCAACGCCGCGUGAGUGAAGAAGGUUCUCGGAUCGUAAAACUCUGUUGUGAGGGAAGAACAAGUACCGGAGUAACUGCCGGUGCCUUGACGGUACCUCAUUAGAAGGCCACGGCUAACUACGUGCCAGCCGCCGCCGUAA
rnacentral:rRNA from 1 species